rnacentral:rRNA from 1 species
GACGGAGGAUGCAAGUGUUAUUCGGUAUUACUGGGCUUAAAGAGUUCGUAGGCGGCUCUGUAGGUGAGGUGUGAAAGCCCUCGGCUUAACCGAGGAACUGCGAUUCAAACCACAGGGCUUGAGGGAGAUAGGGGUAAGCGGAACAGAUGGUGGAGCGGUGAAAUGCAUUGAUAUCAUCUGGAACACCGGUGGCGAAGGCGGCUUACUGGGUCUUUUCUGACGCUGAGGAACGAAAGCUAGGGUAGCGAACGGG